GCCCCUGGCAGGUGGAUGAGAUCCUUCUUCCAGGGCGGAAGUGAGGUGUGCGCAGAGCAUAGGAUUCCCUGGCCUGCCGUGUGCCCGUGCCUCUCGGUCCUGCGGCCCGAGUCUCUGAGUCACCCCCUCGAAGCAGACGGGAUCAGGGAGGGCCAGGAGGGCCAAGCUGUUGGCACAGAGACUCUCCUGAGCCAGCUCUGACCGUCGGCACCUGCGGCGGUGGGGGUGACGGGCGCGCCCGGCCCCAGCUGCGAGCCGGCAGACUGAACGGCUCCUUUGCGGCCUCAGUUUACUCAUCCCUAAGACUCAGGGACUCACCCCUGCGUCCCGUCACCUUGUUCUGCAAGCGACCCCUGACGUUCAGACGACUGACCGUGCACCACCCUCAGGCCCUGCCCCUGCCUCUGGAUCAGCCUGUCCCCGUCAGAGCACAAGGCCCCAGCUGUGUGAGAGAGGACCGUCUCCCCGGACCCUUGGUCUCAGUCUGCCCGUCUGUAAAGUGGGAUUGGCCUGGGCCCAGGCUUUGCCUCUGCACAGUCAGGGAGGGGUGGCCUGUGCCUGGGCCCAGGGCCCCCGGAGCAGUCCUGCGUGUAUCUGCCUUCCACCUGGGGUUCUGAGCGAGACGUGCUAAAGGUGCGGAGACCACGGGCAGCACAGAGUCGGAAAGACGUGGGCCCUUGGGGUGUACCCACCGCCCAUCGGACGGUGCGGCAGAGGGGGCUUCCUGUCCAGCGGGUGUUUGAUGGGGCAGCGCCUCUCGCCCACAGGACGUGGGCAGGGGCUCCCCAGAGGGGACACGAACGGGAGGUGGGCUGUCACCGGACGGAGGCAGAACAGGAGCCUCCAGGUUUGGGACGUGGCUCGGGGUCCCGUCGGGCAGGGCCCUGGGUGCUGUGGGAGGUCGGGGAGGGGCUGGGGCCGGUCUCCCCGGUGUCCCCGCCCCCGGCGCUGCCCUGGCACGGCCGGUCCUGCCAGCUGUCCCUGCGCCUGCCAGCAAUGGGCAGGAAGAAGCCGGCAGCCUGGACCCCGGGGUGGGAUGUGCUGGGAUGUCCCCGGAAUGCGGGCCAGCCCCUCCGGCCAUCUGGUCAGAGGCCACCCCGCCACCAGGCAAAUGAAGACCACCCUUCGAGGGUCUGGGGCAAAGGAGGAUUUUCCUGUGGAAGGAGGCCAUGAGCCUACACUCUCGCCUGCCUCCCCGCAUCGCCGCCCCGAGCCGGGCCGUCUCCUCCGUAAGGCGGGAGAGCGUCAGUGCCACCGCCCUGGGCAAGAGCUUCUCCCCAGACCACCCCGAGCCCCUCGAGAGGGCCACACUGGGGAGACCAGCGGCCCCCUCAGUCCUGCACCAGCCACCCUGCCCCCUUACCUGCCUGAGGAGCCUCCGGGCUCCCUGGCUGGGCCUCGUGCUGGGCCCGGGGCUCAUGGAGGUCGGUCAGGUUUCCGGUCUGGACGCAGCUACUGCCCGUCCUCAGGAAGCAGGGACGGGGGGCUUCCUGGAGGAGGUGAGCUCUGCAGCCGGGCUUCCCGUGGGGCUGGGGCCAGCCGAGAAUCUUCGGUGCACCAGGCUGGGGGUGAGCCCGUUCCAGCCCAGCCCGCUGCCCUACGCAGUCCUGUCUUCCGCGGGACCCACAUCCCCCGAACCUCGGCGUCCCUGAAGGGCAUUUUCCGGAGCUGGGAGCAACCAGGCGUCUCCCUCCUCGUCAGAGAGCCUCCGGCCUCCUCCUGUGCCUCCUGCUCUCGUUCUGUGCACAGCGUUCACAAGCUUGCCCCUCUGACAGCACCCAGUGGGUCGGAGGGAGCGCCCUACAGAGGGGAGUCGGUCGGGCAGGAAGUGGGCGCACGGCAUCCGGGCAGCCUUGGCUGCGGGGCCUGGGAGCAAUAUCAGGGAGACGCGGUUGUCCCUGGGCCCGUUCGCUGGAGGGACAGGGACGCCACCGGCCUCGGCAGGUGGAAGGGAGCCGCCGGCCUGCCGGGCGUCGAUGCCCACCCGUGGUACCCAGCCGUGAGGCCGUCAGAGGGCAGUGGACCUCCUAGAGGAGGUUCGUAG
rnacentral:lncRNA from 1 species